rnacentral:lncRNA from 1 species
CACUGAAGUACUCUUGUUCACCACGAGUUGCUCACCGACUAAACUCGAUCAUCGAUCACACAAACAAUCGGAGAAAGCAUACACGAGCAAACAAAGCUACAAUUAGAACAGUACACCAAUCAUAUAAAAACAGUAUGAGAAGUUUAUAAAAUGAUUCUACGCAUGACUACGAUUUCAUAGAUGUAAAGAUCACGAAAAUCGGAGUUAAAACGUAGAAGUUAUGAAUUUUCUAAGAUUUUGGAUAGAAAAGUAAUUAAUUAAUUAAGGUCACGAAAUUAAAAAGUUUCCAACUGAGAAAACCAUUUUUCUAACAUGUAGAGCUCAUGAAAACAAACCUAACGCAAUUUGAAUGGGUCAAAUCGGAGUUAGAAUGAAUAUUUUAUAGCCAAAAAAAUCCAGUGGCAAAUUUGUAAUUUAAUGAAAACGUAUUUUGAAUUAUACCGAGGUAGAAUACGUUUUCUAAAGGACAUAGCGUGUUUCUGGAAAGACGUAAAGGACUGCGGGUUUAUUUAGAAAAACUCCGAGGGCUCUUUAUCAAAAUCUACCCCGAAGGGGUAUCUUCUAAUCUCGGCCCUUGGUUUUGGAUCGGAUGGCUCAGAAUGAUUCCAGGCGGGUGAGGGGAGUUCCCUGGUCGGAGAGGGAGUCCACGGUGGCUCCAUGGCCGGAAAAGAGCAGAGCUCGCCGGAGUUGGUGGAGAAGGCAUUAGGAAGCUCAGUUUUCGACGGUAAAAGUUCCGGGAGCAAGAGAGGACCCUUGCGAACUCACCUGGGGGGUUAUCGAAGCUCGGGGAGAUCUCAGGAGAGGCGCGCAACGCAAACCGCGGACGGGAGUUUCCCUGAACACUUCGGCGACCUGCGACGAGUGACACAGAGCAUGAAUUCACGAGGGGUAAGACUCAGGGGCUUCGCAAACGCAGCACAAAGCUCGGUAGAAAGGUUACGGUGGCCCGGAGAUAAAGGUCGUCGGAAUAGGCAACGGCGGGCGGCUCCUGCGCCUCUGCGAGAUCCAAAACAGGGACACCGGCGA